UGAUCUAUUGGACAUAGUGGCCGUGAGU
rnacentral:sRNA from 1 species